rnacentral:misc_RNA from 1 species
UUUGUAAAUAGAAGUAAAAUUAUGGAGUGGCCUUGUUGUAGCUUCAAGCCAAACCUAUAAAAGUGGUAAUGGCAGGAUGACUUGCAAAUUUUAACAAAAUCAUUUUUUUUUUUAAUUAAGUAGCCACUUGACUUAUUACGCCUAUGUGUAUGAGUUCGCGACCCAAAAAGAUUAGAAUAAUAUAGUUUCGUCGAAACAGAUUUUUAGAUCUCGUUUGAACACAGAACAAAUAACAAAAACUAGAAUGUGUGUGAAAUUAUUACCAGCACAUAGAUCUGAACAAAUUACCUUCAGACUCAUCGAAUAUUUG